rnacentral:tRNA from 1 species
GGGGGCAUCGCCAAGUGGUAAGGCAACGGAUUGCAAAUCCGUUAUCCCCGGUUCAAAUCCGGGUGCCCCCUCCA